rnacentral:misc_RNA from 1 species
CUAAGAUAUCUGCCGAAUCGUAAACAAUGUCGCGAGAGCCGCGGCAUCGUCGGGUACAUCAAUGUGUCGUCGGUCCUUUUUAAGCGGAUAGUUUCGUAGAAAGGGCCCGCGUGACCCUGGCCACGGGCGUUUCGGGACACGUGUCUCGAACGGCGGGAAAAGACAAAGAGACGUUAAAGUCAGUAUUAGUUGAGAAGUCGGAGAGGACGGAUGCAAAAGGUGUGCAGAGUGUGAAUUGAGAAGCGAGAGCGAGCGGGUGUAGAAGCCGAAGAGUGUGAAUCGGGAAGUCGAAAGCCG